rnacentral:tRNA from 1 species
GGAGGCUUAGCUCAGCUGGUUAGAGCGCAUGCUUCACACGCAUGAGGUCGAGGGUUCGAGUCCCCCAGUCUCCACCA